rnacentral:rRNA from 1 species
UGAUCAGGUUGAUAGGUCAGAGGUGGAAGCGUGGUAACAUGUGGAGCUGACUGAUACUAAUCGUUCGAGGACUUAACCAAUUU